CGCAAGGUCUGUAUACAGGUGGUGCAUGGUUGUCGUCAGCUCGUGUCGUGAGAUGUUGGGUUAAGUCCCGCAACGAGCGCAACCCUCGUUCUGUGUUGCCAGCAUUUAGUUGGGGACUCACAGGAGACUGCCGGGGUUAACUCGGAGGAAGGUGGGGAUGACGUCAAAUCAUCAUGCCCCUUAUGUCUUGGGCUGCACGCAUGCUACAAUGGCUGGUACAAACGGCUGCGAUACCGCAAGGUGGAGCGAAUCCGAUAAAGCCAGUCUCAGUUCGGAUUGGGGUCUGCAACUCGACCCCAUGAAGUCGGAGUUGCUAGUAAUCGUAGAUCAGCAACGCUACGGUGAAUACGUUCCCGGGGCUUGUACACACCGCCCGUCACAUCACGAAAGCCGGUAACACCCAAAGUCAGUGGCCC
rnacentral:rRNA from 1 species